GGCGUAAAGNGCGCANCAGGCGUUUUNUUAAGUNNGAUGUGAAAGCCCCCGGCUCAACCGGGGGAGGGUCAUUGGAAANUGGGGAANUUGAGUGCAGAAGAGGAGANGGAAUUNNANGUGUAGCGGUGAAAAUGCGUAGAGAUGNGGNGGNAACANCCAGUGGNGAAGGNGACUNNNUGUCUGUAACUGACGAUGAGGCGCGAAAAGCGUGGGGAGNGAACAGGAUNAGAUANNNGGUAGUACACGCCGUAAACGAUGAGUGNUAAGUGUUAGAGGGUNUCCGCCCUNUAGUGNUGCAGCAAACGCAAUAAGCACUCCGCCUGGGGAGUGCGGUCGCAAGACUGAAACUCAAAGGAAUUGACGGGGGCCCGCACAAGCGGUGGAGCAUGUGGUUUAAUUNGAAGCAACGCGAAGAACCUUACCAGGUCUUGNCAUCNUCUGACAACCNUAGAGAUAGGGCAUCCCCUUCGGGGGCAGAGUGACAGGUGGUGCAUGGUUGUCGUCAGCUCGUGUCGUGAGAUGUUGGGUUAAGUCCCGCAACGAGCGCAACCCUUGAUCUUAGUUGCCAGCAUUCAGUUGGGCACUCUAAGGUGACUGCCGGUGACAAACCGGAGGAAGGUGGGGAGGACGUCANAUCAUCAUGCCCCUUAUGACCUGGGCUACACACGUGCUACAAUGGGCAGAACAAAGGGCAGAGAAGCCGCGAGGGUAAGCCAAUCCCACAAAUAUCUUUNCAGNUCGGANCCCAG
rnacentral:rRNA from 1 species